AAGGUUUGUAUGAAGGUAAAUUAAAAGAUGUUUGAAUUUAUUUGAGCACAAUGAAGAAACAAGAAGGAUAGAUAGAAAAAACCUUGAAAGAUAUUGACAUCAAUCCUAUAGUUAUCUACUUAAAGAUGGAUUUCUAUAGAAGAGGCUAAAAAAAGAUGAUAAAAUUCUAUUGUGGAUACUAAAAGACCUUAAAAAUAAAUUCAAAGUUUUAAGAGAAUAUCAUGAUACACUUUAGAUAAGAUAGAGAAGAAUAUGGUACACAUAUAUGAAGAUCAAGAAAAGAUAUUAGUAGAGGGAGUUAUAUAAGAAUAUAGAAGACUUUGUAAGCUCAUGCACAAAGUAUCAACUAUAGUCUAAGAUUAGAUAUAGAAAU
rnacentral:lncRNA from 1 species